rnacentral:rRNA from 1 species
CCUGGUUGAUCCUGCCAGUAGUCAUAUGCUUGUCUCAAAGAUUAAGCCAUGCAUGUCUAAGUAUAAGCAAUUUAUACGGCGAAACUGCAGAUGGCUCAUUAAAACAGUUAUAGUUUAUUUGAUGGUCUAUUACUACUUGGAUAACCGUAGUAAUUCUAGGGCUAAUACAUGCACGAAGGUCCAACUCACGGCGGACUGUAUUUAUUAGAUAAAACACCAAUUCCCUCCGGGGAUCCGGUGAGUCAUAGUAACUUUUCGAAUCGUAUGGUCUUGUACCGACGAUAGGUCAUUCAAAUUUCUGCCCUAUCAGCUUUCGAUGGUAGGAUAUGGGCCUACCAUGGCUUUAACGGGUGACGGAGAAUUAGGGUUCGAUUCCGGAGAGGGAGCCUGAGAAACGGCUACCACAUCUAAGGAAGGCAGCAGGCACGAAAAUUACCCAAUCCCAACUCGGGGAGGUAGUGACAAGAAAUAACAAUACGGGGUCUUUAUAGGUCUCGCAAUUGGAAUGAGUACAAUUUAAAUCCUUUAACGAGGAUCAAUUGGAGGGCAAGUCUGGUGCCAGCAGCCGCGGUAAUUCCAGCUCCAAUAGCGUAUAUUAAAGUUGUUGCGGUUAAAAAGCUCGUAGUUGGAUUUCUGUCGGUGAGUUGCAGUCCGGCCACUGUGCUUGGUACUUGUAACGCCACCGGCAUCUUCCUGGGGACUGUGUCUGCUCUUCAUUGAGUGGCUCAUAAUCCAGGACUUUUACUUUGAAGAAAUAGGAGUGUUUCAAGCAGGCAUGCGCCGUGAACACGUUAGCAUGGAAUAAUAGCAUCGGACCUCGCUCCAAAGCUGUUGGUUUCUUGGACCGAGGUAAAGGUGAAUAGGGAUUGUUGGGGGCAUUCGUAUUUAACUGUCAGAGGUGAAAUUCUUGGAUUUGUUGAAGACGGACUACUGCGAAAGCAUCUGCCAAAGAUGUUCUCAUUGAUCAAGAACGAAAGUUAGGUGAUCGAAGACGAUCAGAUACCGUCCUAGUCUUAACCAUAAACUAUGCCGACUGGAGAUCGGGGGUCGUUAACUU